GACGAACGCUGGCGGCGUGCUUAACACAUGCAAGUCGAGCGGUAAGGCCCUUUCGGGGGUACGACGAGCGGCGAACGGGUGAGUAACACGUGGGUGACCUGCCCUCAGCUCUGGGAUAAGCCUGGGAAACCGGGUACUAAUACCGGAUAUGACUCCAUGACGCAUGUUGUGGGGUGGAAAGCCUUGUGCGGCUGAGGAUGGGCCCGCGGCCUAUCAGCUUGUUGGUGGGGUGAUGGCCUACCAAGGCGACGACGGGUAGCCGGCCUGAGAGGGCGACCGGCCACACUGGGACUGAGACACGGCCCAGACUCCUACGGGAGGGCAGCAGUGGGGAAGUCUUGCGCAAUGGGCGAAAGCCUGACGCAGCGACGCCGCGUGAGGGAUGACGG
rnacentral:rRNA from 1 species